rnacentral:rRNA from 1 species
AUUGAACGCUGGCGGCAGGCCUAACACAUGCAAGUCGAGCGGUAACGGGAAGGGGCUUGCCUCUUUGCUGACGAGCGGCGGACGGGUGAGUAAAGCCUGGGGAUCUGGCCGAUGGAGGGGGAUAACCACUGGAAACGGUGGCUAAUACCGCAUGACAUUGAGAAAUCAAAGGGUGGGACCGCAAGGCCACCCGCCAUUGGAUGAACCCAGGUGGGAUUAGCUAGUAGGGAGGGUAAAGGCCUACCUAGGCGACGAUCUCUAGCUGGUCUGGGAGGAUAAACAGCCACACUGGGACUGAGAAACGGCCCAGUCUCCGACGGGAGGCAGCAGUGGGGAAGAGUGACCAAUGGGCGCAGGCCUGACUCAGCCAUGCCGCGUGUGUGAAGAAGGCUUUCGGGUUGUAAAGCACUUUCGGUUGGGAGGAAGGGGUGCGAGUUAAUAGCUCGCAUUUUUGACGUUACUAACAGAAGAAGCACCGGCAAACUCCGUGCCAGCCGCCGCAGUAA